UAAUGAUGAAAUCAAAACUGAAUUAGCUGGAAUUACCGGCAGAUUCUUCAGUGGUGAGUCUUGGUGUUCUGAAC
rnacentral:snoRNA from 1 species